rnacentral:rRNA from 1 species
GGGGGGGGGGGGGGGGGGGGGGGGGGGGGGCGGGGCGGGGGGGGGGAGGGGAAGGUUGGUGGUCUGAGGGUAGCGGCGGACGGGUGAGUAACACGUGGAUAACCGAGCUAUAAGACUGGGAUAACUUCGGGAAAGCGUAGCUACUAACGGGUAAUCUGUUGACCCGCAUGGUUCAAAAGUGAAAGACGGUCUUGCGGCCAAUUCUAGAUGGCUCAGCCCUGCAUAAGCUAGUUGGUAAGGUAACGGCUUACAAAGGACACGAUGCAAAGCCGACCUCAGAGGGUGAUCAGCCACACUGGACCUGAGACACGGUCCAGACUCCUACGGGAGGCAGCAGUAGGGACUCUUCCGCAAUGGGCGAAAGCCUGACGGAGCAACGCCGCGUGAGUGAUGACGGUCUUCGGAUCGUAAAACUCUGUUAUUAGGGAAGAACAUAUGGGUAAGUAACUGUGCACAUCUUGACGGUACCUAAUCAGAAAGCCACGGCUAACUACGUG